GACGAACGCUGGCGGCGUGCUUAACACAUGCAAGUCGUACGGUAAGGCCCUUUCGGGGGUCCACGAGUGGCGCACGGGUGCGUAACACGUGAGUAAACUGCCCACAACUUUGGGAUAACGCUAGGAAACUGGUGCUAAUUCUGGAUAUGUUCUCCUGCUGCAUGGUGGGGGUUGGAAAGAUCUGGCGGUUGUGGAUGGACUGGCGGCCUAUCAGCUUGUUGGUGGGGUAGUGGCCUACCAAGGCGGCGACGCGUAGCCGCCCUGAGAGGGUGACCGGCGACAUUGAGACUGAGAUGCGGCCGAGACUCCGACGAGAGGCAGAAGUGGGGAAUAUUGAACAAUGGGCGCAGGCCUGAUGCAGCAGCGCCGCGGGCGGUAUGACGGCCUUCGGGUGGAAGACCGCUUUCAGCAGGGACGAAGCUUUUUGUGACGGUACCUACAGAAGAAGCACCGGCUAACUACGUG
rnacentral:rRNA from 1 species